GUGUUAAAUUCUCAAGAUUUUACCUUAGCGUGAUCUAUGUUACCUUCUACUGAAUUCAACAGGAGAAGUUGAAUGAUCAGCUGGAGGAACAAAGGCAGGAACAGGCCCUGCAGAGGUAUCGCUGUGAAGCCGAUGAGCUGGACAGCUGGCUCUUGAGUACCAAGGCCACUCUGGACACUGCGCUGAGUCCACCCAAGGAGCCCAUGGACAUGGAGGCCCAGCUUGUGGACUGCCAGAAUAUGCUGGUGGAAAUAGAGCAGAAGGUGGUGGCUUUAUCAGAACUGUCAGUCCACAAUGAGAACCUGCUGCUGGAGGGCAAAGCUCACACCAAGGACGAGGCCGAGCAGCUGGCUGGAAAGCUGAGAAGGCUCAAGGGGAGCCUGCUGGAGCUGCAGAGAGCCCUGCAUGAUAAGC
rnacentral:sRNA from 1 species